rnacentral:rRNA from 1 species
GACGAACGCUGGCGGCGUGCUUAACACAUGCAAGUCGAACGGUAAGGCCCUUCGGGGUACACGAGUGGCGAACGGGUGAGUAACACGUGGGUGAUCUGCCCUGCACUUCGGGAUAAGCCUGGGAAACUGGGUCUAAUACCGGAUAGGACUCCGGACUGCAUGGUCUGGGGUGGAAAGCUUUUGCGGUGUGGGAUGGGCACGCGGCCUAUCAGCUUGUUGGUGGGGUGAUGGCCUACCAAGGCGACGACGGGUGGCCGGCCUGUGAGGGUGACCGGCCACACUGGGACUGAGAUACGGCCCAGACUCCUACGGGAGGCAGCAGUGGGGAAUAUUGCACAAUGGGCGCAAGCCUGAUGCAGCGACGCCGCGUGAGGGAUGACGGCCUUCGGGUUGUAAACCUCUUUCAGCAUCGACGAAGCGAAAGUGACGGUAGGUGCAGAAGAAGGACCGGCCAACUACGUGCCAGCAGCCGCAGUAA